GGAUCCAGACUUUGAUCAUGGCUCAGGAUGAACGCUAGCUACAGGCUUAACACAUGCAAGUCGAGGGGAAACGAUAGAGAAAGCUUGCUUUUUCUAGGCGUCGACCGGCGCACGGGUGAGUAACGCGUAUCCAACCUGCCCAUCACUUGGGGAUAACCUUGCGAAAGUAAGACUAAUACCCAAUGAUAUCUCAAGAAGACAUCUGAAUGAGAUUAAAGAUUUAUCGGUGAUGGAUGGGGAUGCGUCUGAUUAGCUUGUUGGCGGGGUAACGGCCCACCAAGGCGACGAUCAGUAGGGGUUCUGAGAGGAAGGUCCCCCACAUUGGAACUGAGACACGGUCCAAACUCCUACGGGAGGCAGCAGUGAGGAAUAUUGGUCAAUGGGCGAGAGCCUGAACCAGCCAAGUAGCGUGCAGGAAGACGGCCCUAUGGGUUGUAAACUGCCUUUAUAAGGGAAUAAAGUGAGCCUCGUGAGGCUUUUUGCAUGUACCUUAUGAAUAAGGACCGGCUAAUUCCGUGCCAGCAGCCGCGGUAAUACGGAAGGUCCGGGCGUUAUCCGGAUUUAUUGGGUUUAAAGGGAGCGUAGGCCGGAGAUUAAGCGUGUUGUGAAAUGUAGAUGCUCAACAUCUGCACUGCAGCGCGAACUGGUUUCCUUGAGUACGCACAAAGUGGGCGGAAUUCGUGGUGUAGCAGUGAAAUGCUUAGAUAUCACGUAGAACUCCGAUUGCGAAGGCAGCUCACUGGAGCGCAACUGACGCUGAAGCUCGAAAGUACGGGUAUCGAACAGGAUUAGAUACCCUGGUAGUCCGCACGGUAAACGAUGGAUGCCCGCUGUUGGUCUGAAUAGGUCAGCGGCCAAGCGAAGCAUUAAGCAUCCCACCUGGGGAGUACGCCGGCA
rnacentral:rRNA from 1 species